GAUGAACGCUAGCUACAGGCUUAACACAUGCAAGUCGCGGGGCAGCAUGGGGGUUGCUUGCAAUCCCCGAUGGCGACCGGCGCACGGGUGAGUAACGCGUAUCCAACCUGCCCUUCACCACGGGAUAACCCGGCGAAAGUCGGACUAAUACCGUAUGUUGUCCAUUGACGGCAUCCGAUUUGGACGAAAGGCUUGGCGGUGAGGGAUGGGGAUGCGUCCGAUUAGCCAGACGGCGGGGUAACGGCCCACCGUGGCUACGAUCGGUAGGGGUUCUGAGAGGAAGGUCCCCCACACUGGAACUGAGACACGGUCCAGACUCCUACGGGAGGCAGCAGAGAGGAAUAUUGGUCAAUGGGCGUAAGCCUGAACCAGCCAAGUAGCGUGCAGGAUGACGGCCCUAUGGGUUGUAAACUGCUUUUAUGCGGGGAUAAAGUGGCCCACGUGUGGGCUUUUGCAGGUACCGCAUGAAUAAGGACCGGCUAAUUCCGUG
rnacentral:rRNA from 1 species